GUGUCAGCAGCCGCGGUAAUACAGAGGUCUCAAGCGUUGUUCGGAUUCAUUGGGCGUAAAGGGUGCGUAGGUGGCGCGCUAAGUCAGGUGUGAAAUCUCGGAGCUUAACUCCGAAACUACAUUUGAUACUGGCGUGCUUGAGGACUGGAGAGGAGACUGGAAUUCACGGUGUAGCAGUGAAAUGCGUAGAUAUCGUGAGGAAGACCAGCGGCGAAGGCGGGUCUCUGGACAGUUCCUGACACUGAGGCACGAAGGCCAGGGGAGCAAACGGGAUUAGAUACCCUUGUAGUCC
rnacentral:rRNA from 1 species